rnacentral:rRNA from 1 species
ACGUAGGUGGCGAGCGUUAUCCGGAAUCAUUGGGCGUAAAGAGGGAGCAGGCGGCAGUGCAGGUCUGCGGUGAAAGCCCGAAGCUAAACUUCGGUAAGCCGUGGAAACCGCACAGCUAGAGAGCAUCAGAGGAUCGCGGAAUUCCAUGUGUAGCGGUGAAAUGCGUAGAUAUAUGGAGGAACACCAGUGGCGAAGGCGGCGGUCUGGGGUGCAGCUGACGCUCAGUCCCGAAAGCGUGGGGAGCAAAUAGGAUUAGAUACCCUAGUAGUCCACGCCGUAAACGAUGAGUGCUAAGUGUUGGGGGUCAGACCUCAGUGCUGCAGUUAACGCAAUAAGCACUCCGCCUGAGUAGUACGUUCGCAAGAAUG